UGCUUAACACAUGCAAGUCGAGCGGGCAAUUUAUCUAGCACUGAUUACUUCAAAUGGAAAUCAUAAGUGUAAUCAUGAAUUUCUACCUUAUAAUAAAGAAAAAAGAAAUUCAUGUACGCAAAUAGUGAUAACACAUUUUAGUGAAGUGAUGAGUGCUGGAUAAAUUGCUAGCGGCGGACGGGUGCGUAACACGUGGGUAACCUGCCCCUAUCACUGGGAUAACACACUGAAAAGUGUGCUAAUACCAGAUAAUAUAAGCUUUUGGCAUCAUUAGCUUAUCAAAGAAUUUCGGAUAGGGAUGGGCCCGCGUCUGAUUAGCUAGUUGGUGAGGUAACGGCUCACCAAGGCAACGAUCAGUAGCCGACCUGAGAGGGUGAUCGGCCACACUGGAACUGAGACACGGUCCAGACUCCUACGGGAGGCAGCAGUGGGGAAUAUUGCACAAUGGGCGAAAGCCUGAUGCAGCAACGCCGCGUGAGCGAUGAAGGCCUUCGGGUCGUAAAGCUCUGUCCUAUGGGAAAGAUAAUGGACGGUACCCAUUAGGGAAUUAANAUACCCCUGGUAGUUCCACCGNNUGUAAANCGAUGGAGUAAUUAGGNUGUCGGCUNUCAAAGGUCGGUGCCGNCGUUNACACAUUAAGUACUCCNGCGUGGGGGAGUACGCUGCAAGAGUGAAAGUCAAAAGGGAUUGACGGGGACCCGCACAAGUAGCGGAGCAUGUGGUUUAAUUGGAAGCAACGCGAAGAACCUUACGUAGGCUUUGACAUCCCUUUGCAAAAGCCCUUAACCGGGCUCCUCUUGUUCGCAAGACAAAGGUGACAGGUGGUGCAUGGUUGUCGUCAGCUCGUGUCGUGAGAUGUUGGGUUAAGUCCCGCAACGAGCGCAACCCCUAUUUUUAGUUGCCAUCAGUUAGGCUGGGCACUCUAGAAAGACUGCCGAGGACAACUCGGAGGAAGGUGGGGAUGACGUCAAAUCAUCAUGCCCCUUAUGCUUAGGGCUACACACGUGCUACAAUGGCUGUUACAAAGGGCUGCGAGACCGCGAGGUGGAGCCAAUCCCAUAAAAACAGUCUAAGUUCGGAUUGCAGGCUGAAACUCGCCUACAUGAAGCCGGAGUUACUAGUAAUCGCAGAUCAGAAUGCUGCGGUGAAUGCGUUCCCGGGUCUUGUACACACCGCCCGUCACACCAUGGAAGUUGGGGGCACCCAAAGUUAGUUAUCCAACCUUACGGAGGAGGCUACCUAAGGUGAAUUCAAUGACUGGGGUG
rnacentral:rRNA from 1 species